UUGUUGUCUUUUUUUCUUUUGCAAGGUUGUUUAGAAUUAUGAGAAGAAGCUUCCUGCGUCUGGCCUGAUGUCCUUGAAGGAUCUAAUUUGUACAAUUUCAGCUGAGGCUGUUAGGGCCUUUCAGUAGAAGGAGCGAGUCUUGUUUUAUGGGUCGUCCAGAUACGUUGCAGAAUCUGUGCUCACUAGAUCAGAAGAGCACACGUCUGAACU